UCCCAGACUCCUACGGGAGGCGGCAGUGGGGAAUAUUGCGCAAUGGGCGAAAGCCUGACGCAGCGACGCCGCGUGAGCGAUGAAGUAUUUCGGUAUGUAAAGCUCUAUCAGCAGGGAAGAAGAUGACGGUACCUGACUAAGAAGCCCCGGCUAACUACGUGCCAGCAGCCGCGGUAAUACGUAGGGGGCAAGCGUUAUCCGGAUUUACUGGGUGUAAAGGGAGCGUAGACGGCGAUGCAAGCCAGAUGUGAAAGCCCGGGGCUCAACCCCGGGACUGCAUUUGGAACUGUGUGGCUGGAGUGUCGGAGAGGCAGGCGGAAUUCCUGGUGUAGCGGUGAAAUGCGUAGAUAUCAGGAGGAACACCGGUGGCGAAGGCGGCCUGCUGGACUGCAACUGACGUUGAGGCCCGAAAGCGUGGGGAGCAAACAGGAUUAGAUACCCCGGUAAC
rnacentral:rRNA from 1 species